rnacentral:tRNA from 1 species
CCCGCAGGUCGAGCACGAGGCCGCCCUCGAUGACGUUGUGACCGGCAUUGCUGUGGCCGCCACUGCGGACGGACAGUUCGGUCCCCGUCUCGCGGGC